ACGUAGGGUGCGAGCGUUAAUCGGAAUUACUGGGCGUAAAGCGUGCGCAGGCGGCUCUGUAAGAUAGAUGUGAAAUCCCCGGGCUCAACCUGGGAACUGCAUUUGUGACUGCAAGACUAGAGUGCGUCAGAGGGAGGUGGAAUUCCGCGUGUAGCGGUGAAAUGCGUAGAGAUGCGGAGGAACACCGGUGGCGAAGGCAGCCCCCUGGGCUGACACUGACGCUCAUGCGCGAAAGCGUGGGGAGCAAACAG
rnacentral:rRNA from 1 species